UGAGGAAUAUUGGUCAAUGGGCGCAAGCCUGAACCAGCCAUCCCGCGUGAAGGAAGAAGGCGCUAUGCGUUGUAAACUUCUUUUCCAGGGGAAUAAAAUUCUGUACGUGUACGGAAUUGAAGGUACCCUGGGAAUAAGCAUCGGCUAACUCCGUGCCAGCAGCCGCGGUAAUACGGAGGAUGCAAGCGUUAUCCGGAUUUAUUGGGUUUAAAGGGUGCGCAGGCGGAGUAGUAAGUCAGUGGUGAAAACCUGCAGCUUAACUGUAGAAUUGCCGUUGAUACUGCUGCUCUUGAGUAUGGUCAAGGUAGGCGGAAUGUGUAAUGUAGCGGUGAAAUGCAUAGAUAUUACACAGAACACCAAUUGCGAAGGCAGCUUGCUGGGCCAUCACUGACGCUCAGGCACGAAAGCGUGGGGAUCGAACAG
rnacentral:rRNA from 1 species